AUCAGAUCUUGAAAAGCCAGUUGGUGAAAGGCUGGGAGGCUUUUCCUGGACAAACAACUCAAGGAAUUUAUGUACAGGAGUAUGUGGUGUCUUUUGAUGAAGAUUUGAUCCCAGGGCUGCGUUGGGCAGAGAUGCAGUUCUGUGAUCCUCUUGGGAUCAUGUUUCAAGGCUUUGUUGCUGAGAAUAGCUAAGGAGUGUCCCAUAAAGUGAUUUUCAAAGGAAGCCAGAUGCCAUGUUGUGAGGAUGCUCAAGCAGAUCCGUGGAGAGAUCCAUAUGCCAAGAAACUGAGGCCUCCUGACAAUAGCCAUGUGAGACAAUCAUCUUGGAUAACCAUUCUUUAGCCCAGUUAAGUCUGCAGAUAAUGACAACCUUUGUUGACUUCUUGACAGCAACAUUAUAAAAGACCAUGAUGGAACAGAA